rnacentral:misc_RNA from 1 species
GUAUUCUGUGUUGUAUGUAAAUAAUGUUGUUUUUGUGAAUUUAUAGGAAGACAAUAAAAGAAUAAGUUACAGAGAUAAAAGAAAUAAAUGCAAAUUUCAGAAAAAGGCAAUACAAAGUUCCCGAGUAUAGGGGAUGAAGAUUCUGUCAAUUUUCGGCCAUCGCCGAACUUCAGACUUAUGAAAAAAUACUUAAAAUACAAGAUCGGGGAGGAGAGUCACUCGCCCCAAUAUCAUGGAGUAGCAGAAAUCUCAGAAGCAGAAGCGAUGAAAAGAAAGAAACAUGAGCAGACAGAGAAGGUUCAUCCACCAUUACCUAACCGCCCACCGCUGCCGCCGCCGGAACCACUCCUUGCAAAUUUCAAAAAGGAAAUCAAUGAUGACGAGGAGACACCUUCAAUAACCAUAAAUAUCAAGAAAGAUCCAACUGAGAAUUAUGAAAAGCCUAAUGACGUCGAAGAGACCAUGUGUCGUAAUUUUGUGCGUAACACUUGCAAUCGUGGUGCGUCAUGUAGAUAUCUCCACAAAAUAAUACAUUCCCAACUUAAAGGAGUUUACAAAUUCUGUAUUGAUUUUGAAAAUAAAAAGUGCACACGUGCAGAAUGUUCAUAUGCUCACGCCACAGUGCACGAGAAAGAACAUUUCUUCAGAACGGGCUAUUUACCACCAAAUACAUUGAGCCAUAUUAAGAAAAAAACAGUCCUACCUCCAGCUAAAACCAAAGAAACAUCAUCCGAGCUGUCGGCGAAUUAUACCGGCACUACAUACCCUCAUAGCACCACUUCUGUUCCGAUGUACACAAAUGCUUCGAAUAUAAGCAUGAUGCAAAAUCCAUACGAGAAGCAAUGGCCGGAAAUGGAAGACAAAACGUCGCCCGAGAUGGCAUAUUAUAGUGGGCAUCCAUCUUAUCCUCACAGUACGAGCACAGGUUACCCAAACGCUCCGCCCAAUACGCCUAUAGUGCAAAAUCCAUACGCCACUGUAAUGUCUCCUACGAAGAGGCAGUGGACAGAAAUGGAAGAACCCGUGAGUCAACCCACGCACGAGUACGCAGAGUACGCUGAAAUGGCUGGAUCCAAGAAAUGCAGAAACUGUGACGUCAACGAGUUCAGAUUCCAGCAUAACAAAAACAAAAUCAUGAAAAUGAUAAAAGACACAGACGACUUGAAUCAUCGCGUGGGGCAAAUAACUAAAAAGAACACUAAAUUGAAUGAAGUACUUGUGCUGCUCGUCGAAGUUGUGAUAAGACGCACUUAUCGCUAGUGCAACUGUGCUGUUAGUCAUAUCCUGUCCAACAGACCGAGCAUUGUAACCCGGGCAUCACUGACGAAACGAAUUUUGAUGGAAGUGCAAUGGCUGAAGAAUCUGAAGAGUCUGACAUGUUAUCGGGAGACAUGAAUUAUUA